ensembl:lncRNA
GAUGAGAGAUGGUAUUCUAGGGCCUGAAGAAAUGAGCCCUACCUGCAGCAUCUUUGCAGAGGCCAGGGAUACUGACAUCAGUGUGCCAAACACCUUGUAAAGGGAAGUUUCUACAGCUACUGAGGAGUGACAGAUUGCUGUGGUAUGUGAUGCACUUCUGAAACACGCCUGAAUCACUGCGGGAUGUCCCCAUGCUCUGCCAGCAUUGAGCACAGAAAUUCACCAAGCAGGGAGAAGCCUAUUCUCAACUUCAGAAGAAGCUGGAUGGUGGUGCAUUUGUGCACCAGGAAAGGAUGGAAAUGCAGCAUGGAAAGGCUGCAUGAGACAGUCCUGACCUCUACCGUAGUGGGGGCUGCAAAAUGCAGACACUUCUCUGCAUUCUGCUGUGAAGAGGCCUUCAAGCCCUGCUCAGGCACUGCAGCAAACAAAGUCUUAUAAGUGCGUGGAAAACAAAACAAUGGAGAGGCUACAGGAACAACUGAUAGGUAGCUGCAAUUAUGCGAGUCAAGGUCUGCCCUGGGGGUGGAUGAAGAGCUGCAGAGCCAAGGUGCCAGCUGGGUGAGGAGUUGUCAGGUUUUUGGGUUCUAAGGAAACCAGGUAAUGUUUGUGCUGUUGCUUCUAACCCCACGAAGAUCAGGCAAUUUCACAGAAUCAACCAUUCAGGUUGGAAGGGACCUUUAGAGACUCAACCCUCUGCUGUGAGCUGGGAUAUCAGUGCUAAGGGGGGUGCAACAUAUCUCCUCUCCCUUGGGUGUGAGGAGUCCCUGUGCUGGUCUGGCUGUUCAAGCUGCACCUCCACGCAUGGGGUGUUACAUCACAGUUUCCUAAUGUGGCUUUGGGUAAUUCUGUCAUUUGUAUAUUGGUUCCAGUAACUCCAGCGUAAAAAAGAGGUUUGUGUGGCUGUCCUGAGUCUGCAUCUCUAGGACAUGGUUUUUGCUUCAGAGACUUGGUCCUAGAUCUUCAUACCUUUAAGGUCAUGUUAGGAGAGCCACCAAAACCCUUUAGCCUGUUGUGAAAGAGCUGUUAGUGCAUCCCUACUGAAUCUCUGCUAUGUCUUGGUCAUGCUCAGCCCUGGAGAAGAUGUAAUUCCUGAAGACCAUCAUGGUCCAGCUCUAGGAUUUCUCCAUGCUCUUUUGUUGCAGCCAGGAAAGCAACUUGGUAAAUCUUCACUCUUGUCCUUGCAAACAGUGGGCAAAAGUAUUCCAUGUAUUUUCCAACCAAAUUGUUCGCUAUCUUCUCAAAACAGGACUAACAACACUGGAUUCUGUAGUGCUUGGUGCUGGUGACUGCAGCUCUUCCCCCUCCCCCUUUCCACAGCAGCUGCUCAUUUUCUUGCUACGAGAUUUCUACAAGCCAAAAGGAUGGUUUCAGGGAAGUUCACUGAUGCGAUCUGAGAGUUUGCAGGCUGCUUCCUUUGCAUCCCAACAUUACCAUCACCAUCCUGAUCCUUGACACUGUGUAACUCGGCUAGGAGAGGAUACACAGAGAUUUGGGAAAAGGAGAUAUUUGUAUCACAGUUCCUGAAAAUCCAUCCCUUGUUAGGAGCUCUGGCAGGACCAGCAACAGUUUAUUCUGUGAAACUGAUGCUGUAUUUCUCAUGCUCUCCCUGGCUGUGCUGCAUUCGCUCUGCCUUGAGCCUGUGGGUCCUUGAUGUGUCUCAGGCUCUUUCUGGGGAUAAACACCUGUAAUAAACCACGUCCCGACCUGUUGCACUUUUGUGGCUCCUUGAGCAGGCUGCAGCUCCCUGCAGCAUAUUGUGGCACCCUGCUGCUGCUUGACCAGAAAGAGAAAAUAAGUCAGUGUGCAAAGGAACGGAGCUGGUUUGGGGAAUGGAAGGGUUAUUUGGGGGC